CCGACACAGGUGGUCAGGUAGAGAAUACUAAGGCGUUCGGGUGAACUGUGGUUAAGGAACUCGGCAAAAUGCCCCCGUAACUUUGGGAUAAGGGGGACCUGAGCUGUCGUGCACCCGUGCGGUGUGGUGGCGGUGAGGGGCGCAGAGUCCAGGGGGAAACGACUGUUUACCAAAAACACAGGUCCGUGCGAAGUCGUAAGACGAUGUAUACGGACUGACUCCUGCCCGGUGCUGGAAGGUUAAGGGGAACUGUGAGUGUGAUGCGUAGCGGUGAACUUAAGCCCCAGUAAACGGCGGUGGUAACUAUAACCAUCCUAAGGUAGCGAAAUUCCUUGUCGGGUAAGUUCC
rnacentral:rRNA from 1 species